AACGCGAAGAACCUUACCUGGGCUCGAAAUGUUGUGGACCGGGGUAGAAAUAUCCCUUCCCCGCAAGGGGCCGCAAUAUAGGUGCUGCAUGGCUGUCGUCAGCUCGUGUCGUGAGAUGUUGGGUUAAGUCCCGCAACGAGCGCAACCCUUGUCCUAUGUUGCCAGCGGGUAAUGCCGGGGACUCGUAGGAGACUGCCGGGGUCAACUCGGAGGAAGGUGGGGACGACGUCAAGUCAUCAUGCCCCUUACGUCCAGGGCUGCACACAUGCUACAAUGGCCAGUACAGAGGGCUGCUAUCCCGCGAGGGUGAGCUAAUCCCAAAAAGCUGGUCUCAGUUCGGAUUGCAGUCUGCAACUCGACUGCAUGAAGUCGGAGUCGCUAGUAAUCCCGAAUCAGCAACGUCGGGGUGAAUACGUUCCCGGGCCUUGUACACACCGACUGUAC
rnacentral:rRNA from 1 species